rnacentral:rRNA from 1 species
UCCUGGUGGCGAGUGGCGAACGGGUGAGUAAUAUAUCGGAACGUGCCCAGUCGUGGGGGAUAACGUAGCGAAAGCUACGCUAAUACCGCAUACGAUCUAUGGAUGAAAGCGGGGGAUCGCAAGACCUCGCGCGAUUGGAGCGGCCGAUAUCAGAUUAGGUAGUUGGGUGAGGUAAAGGCUCACCAAGCCGACGAUCUGUAGCUGGUCUGAGAGGACGACCAGCCACACUGGGACUGAGACACGGCCCAGACUCCUACGGGAGGCAGCAGUGGGAAUUUUGGACAAUGGGCGCAAGCCUGAUCCAGCAAUGCCGCGUGCAGGAUGAAGGCCUCGGGUUGUAACUGCUUUGUACGGAACGAAACGGUGAGCUCUAAUACAGUUUGCUAAUGACGGUACCGUAAGAAUAAGCACCGGCUAACUACGUG